AGUAAACAAACAGAACCUUUAAGAUGAUACUUUCAUUCAAAAGUUUCCAAUGGACUGCAGAAAGGAAUGACAAGAGCAAGCUGAUCCUCAUGAGCUGAGAAUGGUGUUUUCUGUCAAGGGGAGAAACACUUGGUAAAACCUUAAAAAGUGUGUGCGCCUUGACAGACCAAGGAAAGAAGAGGAUUGAAUGAAAUGUUUGAGCUGUUCAAGUUGUUCUGUUAAAAUGUAUUGUCUGCUCACUUGCUUCUGUGAAGGAAGAAAGUGAAGUCAAAGUAAAAGUGGUGCUUUGGAGCAAGCAUUAAGUCCUCCUGUGGCUGUGUUAAAAACGGAGAAAACAACAACAACAGUUGUUAGUAUUUCCUGUAUGAAGACCACUAAUAACUGCCAUCUUAGAAUACAUGGAAAGAAUCAAAGUGAGCUGUUCAAGGACUUCUGACAAGAGUGGAAAGUCAGCUUCCAGAAUGUCUGUCUAAUAGAAGAGAAGAAAUUUUUGGCUUCAUGAUGGUCCUGUCCCAAAAGGGUGCUAAUAUUGCAUCUGGAAACCUGCAUAUACCUUUAUACACAUUCACUU